GUGCUGCAGACACCUGACAGAGGAGAACUCAGACUACCAGCAUGACCGGGACGAUAAGUGGCGCUCGCCCAGCACUGCUGCCAGCCUCUCUGAGAUUGAAGCCAAGCUGUCUUCUGUAUGGAUUAGUCAAGCAUACCGCCGAGACCCUACUGGUGACCAGCUUCAGGACCGAGCCACCCUAAAGGAGAUCUCAGAGGAGGACCGAGCCACCCUAAAGGAGAUCUCAGAGGAGGACCGAGCCACCCUAAAGGAGAUCUCAGAGGAGGACCGAGCCACCCUAAAGGAGAUCUCAGAGGAGGAGCAAGUGCCCACAUGGAAGGAAGAGGGAGAGCUGGCUCUGUG